rnacentral:rRNA from 1 species
UACGUAGGGUGCAAGCGUUAAUCGGAAUUACUGGGCGUAAAGCGUGCGCAGGCGGCUUUGCAAGACAGAUGUGAAAUCCCCGGGCUCAACCUGGGAACUGCAUUUGUGACUGCAAGGCUAGAGUACGGUAGAGGGGGAUGAAAUUCCGCGUGUAGCAGUGAAAUGCGUAGAUAUGCGGAGGAACACCGAUGGCGAAGGCAAUCCCCUGGACCUGUACUGACGCUCAUGCACGAAAGCGUGGGGAGCAAACAGG